GGGCCACAGCUCAGUGGGUGAACAUCUGCUUUUGACUACAGAAAGUCCCAGGUUCAAUCCCUGGCAUCUCCA